rnacentral:pre_miRNA from 1 species
UCUUAUGGAUAAGAGAAGAAAGCAGUUUCUUGAAAUGGAAACUACUCCUGGUGAAGAUGCUGUGAA